rnacentral:rRNA from 1 species
CACGUAGGCGGACUAUUAAGUCAGAGGUGAAAUCCCAGGGCUCAACCCUGGAACUGCCUUUGAUACUGGUAGUCUCGAGUUCGAGAGAGGUGAGUGGAAUUCCGAGUGUAGAGGUGAAAUUCGUAGAUAUUCGGAGGAACACCAGUGGCGAAGGCGGCUCACUGGCUCGAUACUGACGCUGAGGUGCGAAAGUGUGGGGAGCAAACA